rnacentral:rRNA from 1 species
GACGAACGCUGGCGGCAUGCCUAAUACAUGCAAGUCGAACGAGUUCCCGUUGAUUGACGUGCUUGCACUGAUUUCAACAUUGGAACGAGUGGCGAACUGGUGAGUAACACGUGGAAAACCUGCCCAGAAGCAGGGGAUAACACUUGGAAACAGGUGCUAAUACCGUAUAACAACAAAAACCGCAUGGUUUUUGUUUGAAAGGUGGCUUCGGCUAUCACUUCUGGAUGGUUCCGCGGCGCAUUAGCUUGUUGGUGGGGUAACGGCUCACCAAGGCGAUGAUGCGUAGCCGACCUGAGAGGGUAAUCGGCCACAUUGGGACUGAGACACGGCCCAGACUCCUACGGGAGGCAGCAGUAGGGAAUCUUCCACAAUGGACGCAAGUCUGAUGGAGCAAUGCCGCGUGAGUGAAGAAGGGUUUCGGCUCGUAAAACUCUGUUGUUGAAGAAGAACGGGUGUCAGAGUAACUGUUGACAUCGUGACGGUAUUCAACCAGAAAGCCAUGGCUAACUACGUGCCAGCAGCCGCGGUAAUACGUAGGUGGCAAGCGUUGUCC